rnacentral:lncRNA from 1 species
CGAAGAUUCCGAUGGUGAGAUACCUUCCAAGGAAUGUAUCGGCGAUGAAACCACCGAGUAAACAAAGCAUGAAAGAUGUGCCGAGGAAGUUGGUGACGGUGGUGGCCGAGGUAGCAUUGCCUAAAUGCAUGGUUUCCGUUAAGUACGUCACUAAGUUAACAGCUAUACCUAAAGUUGUUAACCUCUCACAUGCUUCCACACCUGUGAGACAGAAAAGACAAUUACAAAUUGUUUGUUUGUUUAGUGUCUAAAACUAAAGCCAUAAGAAGACUCAAAUGAAAUGAUGAUGAUGAAAGACGAACCUAGAAUCAUGGCGGCGCUGGUCCAGCCACCGGUGGUGGACCUCUCGGCGGGAUGACCCUUAUAGUCCCAAGCAUCGGGGAGGGUUUUCCCUUGUGUUACAGGGAGGGACAUUGGUUGAUAUAUAAGGUUAAAAUGGGUUGAAGAUCAAAGGAGAGAAAAAGAGAGUGGUGGUGG